UGUUGCUUCAGUACAGCCAGAGUGAAACACACGAAAGAUAAAAACAGAGCAUACGGGAUAGCAUUAGCUUUUCUUUUGUGAGACGGUUGUCUGAAGACGAGUUUGGUGUUUUCGGUAAAUAUUUCCGUGUUUUCAGUGAAAAUAUCUUCAGUUCCGCCUCAGAGAGAGUUUAUCAACGAGCAGGUAACUCCUGCUGGAGAAACAUUCACAGAGUUUAAACAAAUCAACGUCAAGAUGGAGGAAAAGAUGGAGGAUCAGCGCAGACUGAUGGAUUUUACCCGGAUACCGAGGAUAAACGUACACAGAAUAUCGCUCCCACAACGGUGGGCGUGUAAAGAGGAGGAGGUUCUCAAUGAGCUCAGCAACCAGGAGGAAAACUCCACUUUAAAUCAAGAAGAACCAGAACAUCUGCAGAUAAAACAGGAACAAGAGGAACCAGAACAUCUGCAGAUAAAACAGGAACAAGAGGAACCAGAACCUCUGCAGA